rnacentral:rRNA from 1 species
GAUGAACGCUAGCGGCAGGCCUAAUACAUGCAAGUCGGACGGGAUUUGGGAGCUUGCUCCUAAUGAGAGUGGCGCACGGGUGCGUAACACGUAUGUAACCUACCUUAAUCAGGGGGAUAGCCUCUCGAAAGAGAGAUUAACACCGCAUAAUAUAUUUUUAUGUCAUCGUAGAAAUAUCAAAUAUUUAUAGGCUUAAGAUAGUCAUGCGGAACAUUAGCUAGUUGGUAAGGUAACGGCUUACCAAGGCUACGAUGUUUAGGGGAUCUGAGAGGAUGACCCCCCACACUGGUACUGAGACACGGACCAGACUCCUACGGGAGGCAGCAGUAAGGAAUAUUGGUCAAUGGGCGCAAGCCUGAACCAGCCAUGCCGCGUGCAGGAAGACGGCCCUAUGGGUUGUAAACUGCUUUUGUACCGGAAUAAACCCUUUUACGUGUAGAAGGCUGAAUGUACGGUAAGAAUAAGGAUCGGCUAACUCCGUGCCAGCCGCCGCGGUAA